GGGGAUGCAAGGCAUAGACAGUCGGCCUUUUGUCAUUGAUGCAUGCCGAGUAUGAACGCAAUCUCGCAAAACUUCGUUCAAAUAGUUAAUUGCAAAAUUAGCUUCCAAAGUUAAAGCAAUUGUUUCUCCGUAUGCAAAUAUGGGAGACUUCGCUUUCGCUCACGUUUCCGCUUCGGCGUAAGCGUGUGUCUUAUCCAUAGACUUCCGAUAUAUGGGCUAAGGCAUAACAUUAUCGGGAUAAGGGAAUGUCCGCUCGAACAUUUCACGAAAAUCUAGAGCUCGAUUAAAAAAUAUUUGGCUCGUUUCUUAAUUUUUUAAUCUAAAACAAAAAGCGCGCUAUGCAUGUAGAUUUCUUAGCAAAAACCUUCUGCACGGGGAUUCGAUUUCCCCCAUCUCCACAA
rnacentral:tmRNA from 1 species